rnacentral:rRNA from 1 species
GGGCGUUAAGUUGCAGGGUAUAGACCCGAAACCCGGUGAUCUAGCCAUGGGCAGGUUGAAGGUUGGGUAACACUAACUGGAGGACCGAACCGACUAAUGUUGAAAAAUUAGCGGAUGACCUGUGGCUGGGGGUGAAAGGCCAAUCAAACCGGGAGAUAGCUGGUUCUCCCCGAAAGCUAUUUAGGUAGCGCCUCGUGAAUUCAUCUCCGGGGGUAGAGCACUGUUUCGGCUAGGGGGCCAUCCCGGCUUACCAACCCGAUGCAAACUGCGAAUACCGGAGAAUGUUAUCACGGGAGACACACGGCGGGUGCUAACGUCCGUCGUGAAGAGGGAAACAACCCAGACCGCCAGCUAAGGUCCCA